CUACAGGCUUAACACAUGCAAGUCGAGGGGCAGCAUGGUCUUAGCUUGCUAAGGCCGAUGGCGACCGGCGCACGGGUGAGUAACACGUAUCCAACCUGCCGUCUACUCUUGGACAGCCUUCUGAAAGGAAGAUUAAUACAAGAUGGCAUCAUGAGUCCGCAUGUUCACAUGAUUAAAGGUAUUCCGGUAGACGAUGGGGAUGCGUUCCAUUAGAUAGUAGGCGGGGUAACGGCCCACCUAGUCUUCGAUGGAUAGGGGUUCUGAGAGGAAGGUCCCCCACAUUGGAACUGAGACACGGUCCAAACUCCUACGGGAGGCAGCAGUGAGGAAUAUUGGUCAAUGGGCGAGAGCCUGAACCAGCCAAGUAGCGUGAAGGAUGACUGCCCUAUGGGUUGUAAACUUCUUUUAUAAAGGAAUAAAGUCGGGUAUGGAUACCCGUUUGCAUGUACUUUAUGAAUAAGGAUCGGCUAACUCCGUGCCAGCAGCCGCGGUAAUACGGAGGAUCCGAGCGUUAUCCGGAUUUAUUGGGUUUAAAGGGAGCGUAGAUGGAUGUUUAAGUCAGUUGUGAAAGUUUGCGGCUCAACCGUAAAAUUGCAGUUGAUACUGGAUAUCUUGAGUGCAGUUGAGGCAGGCGGAAUUCGUGGUGUAGCGGUGAAAUGCUUAGAUAUCACGAAGAACUCCGAUUGCGAAGGCAGCCUGCUAAGCUGCAACUGACAUUGAGGCUCGAAAGUGUGGGUAUCAAACAGGAUUAGAUACCCUGGUAGUCCACACGGUAAACGAUGAAUACUCGCUGUUUGCGAUAUACGGCAAGCGGCCAAGCGAAAGCGUUAAGUAUUCCACCUGGGGAGUACGCCGGCAACGGUGAAACUCAAAGGAAUUGACGGGGGCCCGCACAAGCGGAGGAACAUGUGGUUUAAUUCGAUGAUACGCGAGGAACCUUACCCGGGCUUAAAUUGCAGAUGAAUUACGGUGAAAGCCGUAAGCCGCAAGGCAUCUGUGAAGGUGCUGCAUGGUUGUCGUCAGCUCGUGCCGUGAGGUGUCGGCUUAAGUGCCAUAACGAGCGCAACCCUUGUUGUCAGUUACUAACAGGUUCCGCUGAGGACUCUGACAAGACUGCCAUCGUAAGAUGUGAGGAAGGUGGGGAUGACGUCAAAUCAGCACGGCCCUUACGUCCGGGGCUACACACGUGUUACAAUGGGGGGUACAGAGGGCCGCUACCACGCGAGUGGAUGCCAAUCCCCAAAACCUCUCUCAGUUCGGACUGGAGUCUGCAACCCGACUCCACGAAGCUGGAUUCGCUAGUAAUCGCGCAUCAGCCACGGCGCGGUGAAUACGUUCCCGGGCCUUGUACACACCGCCCGUCAAGCCAUGGGAGCUGGGGGUACCUGAAGUGCGUAACCGCGAGGAGCGCCCUAGGGUAAAACUGGUGACUGGGGCUAAGUA
rnacentral:rRNA from 1 species